rnacentral:rRNA from 1 species
AUGAUUCAAGCUCAAACCCUUUUUAAUGUAGCAGAUAAUAGUGGAGCUCGAAAAUUGAUGUGUAUUCGACUCAUAGUAGUUGCUGGUAAUCAACGAUAUGCUUGUAUUGGUGAUAUUAUUGUUUUUGUAAUCAAAGGCGCAUUGCCCCAAAUGCCUCUAGAAAGAUCCAAAGUAAUUGAAAAUGUAAUUAUACAUACAUGUAAAGAGUUCAAAUGCGAAGAUGGUAUAAUAAUCCGCUAUGAUGACAAUGCUGCGGUUAUAAUUGAUCAAAAAGGUAAUAAAAAGGAACUCGAGUUUUUGAUGCGAUUGCCGAGGAUUGAGAGAAUUGAAUUUUACCAGAAUAGUUUCAUUAGCCCCUGA